AACGAACGCUGGCGGCAUGCCUAACACAUGCGAGUCGAACGAGACCUUCGGGUCUAGUGGCGCACGGGUGCGUAACGCGUGGGAACCUGCCCUUAGGUUCGGAAUAACUCCCCGAAAGGGGUGCUAAUACCGGAUAAUGUCUUCGGACCAAAGAUUUAUCGCCUUUGGAUGGGCCCGCGUUGGAUUAGCUAGUUGGUAGGGUAAAAGCCUACCAAGGCGACGAUCCAUAGCUGGUCUGAGAGGAUGAUCAGCCACACUGGGACUGAGACACGGCCCAGACUCCUACGGGAGGCAGCAGUGGGGAAUAUUGGCCACUGGGCGAAAGCCUGAUCCAGCAAUGCCGCGUGAGUGAUGAAGGCCUUAGGGUUGUAAAGCUCUUUUACCCGGGAUGAUAAUGACAGUACCGGGAGAAUAAGCGCCGGCUAACUCCGUG
rnacentral:rRNA from 1 species